rnacentral:rRNA from 1 species
UACGUAGGGUGCAGGCGUUAAUCGGAAUUACUGGGCGUAAAGCGUGCGCAGGCGGUUUGUUAAGACAGGUGUGAAAUCCCCGGGCUUAACCUGGGAACUGCGUUUGUGACUGUAGGACUCGAGUGUGGCAGAGGGGGGUGGAAUUCCACGUGUAGCAGUGAAAUGCGUAGAUAUGUGGAGGAACAUCGAUGGCGAAGGCAGCCCCCUGGGUCAACACUGACGCUCAUGCACGAAAGCGUGGGGAGCAAACAGG